rnacentral:rRNA from 1 species
AAUAUUGCACAAGUGGGCGCAAGCCUGAGUGCAGCCAUGCCGCGUGUGUGAAGAAGGCCUUACGGGUGUAAAGCACUUUCAGUCGUGAGGAAGGUAGUGUAGUUAAUAGCUGCAUUAUUUGACGUUAGCGACAGAAGAAGCACCGGCUAACUCCGUGCCAGCAGCCGCGGUAAUACGGAGGGUGCGAGCGUUAAUCGGAAUUACUGGGCGUAAAAGCGCAUGCAGGUGGUUUGUUAAGUCAGAUGUGAAAGCCCGGGGCUCAACCUCGGAAUAGCAUUUGAAACUGGCAGACUAGAGUACUGUAGAGGGGGUAGAAUUUCAGGUGUAGCGGUGAAAAUGCGUAGAGAUCUGAAGGAAUACCGGUGGCGAAGGCGGCCCCCUCGGACAGAUACUGACACUCAGAUGCGAAAGCGUGGGGAGCAAACAGGAUUAGAUACCCUGGUAG